AUUGCUGAAACAACUAAAUAGAAGUGGAAUACAAAAAGGGAGGAAAGUGGAAAUACAACUGAGAACAAUCUAAGACCACUAUUCAAUAUUAGUUAUAUGUCAAAGGGAACAAUUAACACAUAGAAGAUGGAGACUAAAUGAAGCUUCCGGGAGGGGGCCAAGCUCACUAGCCAUCAAAGAAUUCAUACAGGGGAGAAAUCUUUUCAAUGCCAUGAGCGUGGAAAGAGCUUUUGUCAAAGUUCGUCUCACUUCCCAUCAAAGAACUCAUACAGGUCAGAAACCGUAUCAGUGCUUUGAAUGUAUUUUCCAGUUUCUACCCUCAAGACUUUUGCCAUGACAUUUUACCCCUCUGCCAGAAGAGCAUCUUUAGCUCCCUAGUUUCUGUGGCAACACUUUUUGGGAUGUGGUUCUUUGCAGGCACAAUUGUAUUCAAUAAAGGCCUAUCUUUCCACUUGGA